AACUACGAUAUAUAUACAUAUGAAUCCCAGCACAUUGGAUGUUUAAAUUCGAAUCUUUAUUUCUUGAUGACGACAUUACUUCGUGACUAUCCAAUUACAAAGCAUGAUAAGCAUAAAACAAAGCUCAGUAGGUUGUCAAACCUGAAUAUUUUCCUCUAUGUUCAAUUUUCCUGCUGAGGUUUCCUGUGGUGUUUACCAGUUUAUCAUACACACUGUCAAUUAAAAGUGACCAUGAUAACAGUGGUGCUCUAAACUGUUAAAUGUCUGAUCAGAAGUUUACUACUUCUAGAUAGGCUGCUGACUUGCAAUAAAAUGAGCGUAGGUUAUAUUAUUAGAUGGAUCAACUACAUCACCUCCCAACCUUACUAUCUCUUUCUGAAUCUUGACCUAUGUCGAUUGUAAAGCUUAGUACCAACAGGAGAGCAGAGUUUGGUAGUGGUUAAAUGUUCUUCAGUUCCACGUCCACGCUCAAUAAUUUUCUUGCAUCAAGGAGGACGAUAUCUGAAAAAAAAAUCAGGAUUAUCAUCAUUUCUGCCAGUAAUGAAAUUCAGCGAGGAUAAAACGUAGAGUAAAAUUGCUCACGGGGUUGAUAAAAUUUUCUAUGUGACUUGCGGUAAAAAGAAAUUAAUACCACAAUAGAACCACACAAAAAAACUGAUGGAUAUGGGCCACCCAAAAAAAAAUUGAAAAUAUCAAAGUUAAGUACUUGAAGGCUUGAAGGUGUAAAAUAAAAGAAGCAUCCAUUUGCUCUCGUUUGAAUGUUUGAAUGAAACUGAACAAUAUUGAGUAGAUGAGCGCCAAGUUGAAGAAUUCCAACUUCUAAGUGCUUCUGAAAAAUAGAAGCUGGAAAGUAGCAAGAUAAGUCAUUCAUGAUCUUGCAUGAAAGGUACACAUGACGACCCUGAAUGCCAUUCAAUCGGCAGCAUCAUAUCCAGAAAUUGAGUGUGAAUUUAAACCACUUAUUAAAUUAUUGUAUGCAACACGAAUGAUGGGUAAAACGAGUCAUUCAUUGAAAUAGUAUAUUUAACCUAGCCCUCAUAAAAAGUAUAUGCUCCGGCAGAGCAUCUGCAUAAAGUAUUCCAAAAACUUUAUUCCAUCUCUAGCUCAAAGAAUUAAUUCUACUAGUCUUGUCCAUAGAAUAAGAAGUGAAUUCAUUACACUAAUCAUGUAGUCAUGUAGAGAAUAUAAUCUCUCGGCAUGCUGCGUUAUGAACUUAUGAUACACUCUAACAAGCUAUCUGGAAUUUGUGAAGUGGUCACGAUUCUUCAAUCAUCGUGGCCGACAUCGUAUCCCGAGAAGCUUUAGAUAGAUACGUACGCGAACGUUGAAAGUGCGGAAUUUUUCCCAAUAUAAAUGUAUGCUUAUCAGCCAAGAGCCCCCUGAAAGCAUUCGAUUUGGCUCCACACACAACCCAAAUAGAUGGUUAGUAGUUUUUUAGUGGUCCUAUAAAAACUCCAAAUCUAUUGUACAUUUUAAGCCAGCAAGUUGUUUUCUUAUACAAAAUCUGCACCGCAGACCAUGAAACACUCCUGGCAGUUCAUCUGUCCAAAUAAUCCACUAUUUGUCCAAGUCAGUUAUUUCACAGCAAUUUCAUUUGCUGGAUAUGCAGCCCUCAAGGUACUGAAGCCACAAGAAAAGCCGCAUGCUCUUAAAGACUUGGAUUUAUUAUUUACUUCUGUAUCUGCAUCAACUGUCUCAAGCAUGGGUACUAUUGAAAUUGAGGAUUUCUCAAGCACUCAACUCUGGGUGCUGACUAUUUUAAUGCUGAUUGGUAGCGAGGUAUUCACUUCAAUGCUUGGUUUUCACUUCAUAAAAGCCAGAUUUGGUGCAAAAGGAUCGGUCAACAAAAUGGGUCACUCAUUUAUUGUUGAUGUUGAAUCUAUUAAUUCUGAAAAUCCUGGUUCCAACGGCAACCAGGGAACCAAUGUUGUCAGCUUGGAAGACAAAGAUCAUGUUGAGUACAAGACAAUUAAGACUUUAGGUUAUGCAUUGAUGACCUAUUUUCUUGUGGCAAAUUUAGGCAGCUCGCUAGCUAUUUAUAUUUAUCUUAGACUCGUACCAGAUACACAAGAAGUUCUGAAGAGGAAGGGGAUUGGGUAUGUUAUAUUCUCUGCAUUUACAGCAAUAUCCUCAGUUGGGAAUUGUGGCUUCACUCCAGUAAAUGAGAACAUGGUCAUCUUUCAGAAGAACACCAUUCUGUUACUACUGAUUAUUCCACAGAUUUUAUCAGGAAAUACAUUAUUCGCCCCAUGUUUGAGAUUCAUGAUGUGGUCACUUAAGAAGAUCACUGGGAAAGAAGAAUACCAUUUCAUUCUUCAACAUCCGAAGGCGUUUGGAUAUAAACAUCUUAUGAAUAGUAAGGAGUGUGCUUACUUGAUGGCAACUGUUAUCAGCUUCAUCAUCAUACAAACUAUACUUUUUUGCACUUUAGAGUGGAACUCAGAGGCUUUGCAGGAAAUGAACAGCUACCAGAAGAUAGUGGGAGCUCUCUUUCAGUCAGUCAAUGCAAGGCAUGCUGGUGAAUCCAUUGUUGAUCUGUCAAGCCUAUCUUCAUCAAUCCUAGUACUAUACACCAUCAUGAUGUACCUCCCUGGUUACACUUCAUUCUUACCUAAAGACAAUGAGCAGCAUUCUAACGUGGGGAUGAAGGACAAAAAGAGAAGUGUGUGUGAGAAUUGGGUCCUCUCCCAGCUGUCUUAUUUAGCUAUCAUUUUGGUGCUAAUUUGCAUCACUGAGAGAGAAGCAAUGUCCAGAGAUCCACUCAAUUUCAAUGUUUUCAGCAUAACCUUUGAAGUUAUCAGUGCAUAUGGAAAUGUGGGUUUCUCACUUGGUUACAGCUGCCAAAGGUUACUGAAUCACAAUACAGACUGUAAAGAUGCUUCAUAUGGGUUUGUAGGAAGAUGGAGUGAUAAGGGAAAAGUGAUUCUGAUUAUUGUCAUGGUUUUUGGUAGGCUCAAAACAUUGAAUAUGAAGGGAGGGAGUGCUUGGAAGCUUAGAUAGCAUCGGUUGUGUGUUCGCCUAAAUUCCCAGCACUCCAUAGUCCAUAAUAUGGUAUUGAGUAUGUUACAUACAACUAUACUAGCAUAGCACACACAACUGCAUAUGUGCAUAAGAAUUGGCAGACCAUUACAAGCAUUGUUGGGGUGAAUUAUAUUAUCAUAAGCAGCUUAAAUCUAUGUUUAUCACCAAGGUUUUGUA